rnacentral:rRNA from 2 species
UAUCAAAAACAUCACUAGGAGAAAACUUUACUCUUAGCAGUACCUGCCCAGUGCAAAAUUGUAAACGGCCGCCCUAGCGUGAGGGUGCCAAGGUAGCGAAAUUCCUUGCCUUUUAAUUGUAGGCCUGCAUGAAUGGAUUGACGAGGGUCAAGCUGUCUCUUGCUUUGAGCAGCGAAAUUGGACUGAAGGUGAAGAUACCUUCAUAUAAAAGUUAGACAAGAAGACCCCGUGCAGCUUUUAAAAAUUUAUUUAUUAAGGAUUGUAAGAUUUUUAGGUGGGGCGCCUAGGAAGUAAAACUUAACCUUCUUAUUUGUUAAAAGCAACUGUCUGGUGUAGACCCGGCAAGUCCGAUCAUAGGAGAAGUUACGCCGGGGAUAACAGGCUUAUCUAUUAGUAGAGCUCGUAUUGGCUAAUAGGAUUGGCACCUCGAUGUUGAAUUAAGGAUGAUAACUUUAAGGCGUAGAGGCUUUAAAAGUGGGUCUGUUCGACCUUUAAUACCUUACGUGAUCUGAUCUGAGUUCA